rnacentral:rRNA from 1 species
UACAGAGGGGGCACGCGUUGUUCGGAAUUACUGGGCGUAAAGGGCGCGUAGGCGGCCUCUUAAGUCGAACGUGAAAUCCCCGGGCUCAACCCGGGAACUGCGUCCGAUACUGGGAGGCUUGAAUCCGGGAGAGGGAUGUGGAAUUCCAGGUGUAGCGGUGAAAUGCGUAGAUAUCUGGAGGAACACCGGUGGCGAAGGCGGCAUCCUGGACCGGUAUUGACGCUGAGGCGCGAAAGCCAGGGGAGCAAACGGG